CAAGAGCCCGUUCCCGCCGCCCCGCCCGAGAGUUUGAUCCUGGCUCAGAUUGAACGCUGGCGGCAUUGCCUUACACAUGCAAGCCGAACGGUAAGAGUAGCAAUACUCGAGAGUGGCGACCGGUUGACAAAUAUUAUCGGAACCUGCCCAGCCUUGGGGGAUAACGUAGAGAAAUUUACGUAAUCCCGCUUCGACUCGGAUGAAAGCGGGGGAUCCCAAGACCUCCCCGAUUGGAGCGUUGAUUCAAAUUAGGUUGUUGGUGAGGAAAAAGUUCACCAUCCCACUUUUUGUAGUUGGUUUGGAGAGAACCACCCCCCUCCUUGGGUUGGGGGGGCGGGCCCCCCCCCCUCCCGUGGGCUCCAUUGGCUUAAUUUUUGGAAUUUGGGCCGAAAUCCUUUCCUCCAUCAUUGCCCUUUGCUAGGAAAAAAGUCCUCCCCCUUUGGCUCACUCUGCCUUCUUGGUCCGGACAAUCCUUGCCCCUUUUCAUAAUAUCGGGGUCUAUGCCCGUUCCCCUUUAACUUACCUCCCUUUCUUUCCUUCGUUCUCUUCCCCCUUGGUUCCUUAGCUGAUGGCUGCCUUUUCUUCUAAUCCUGCUAAUUCUCCUCCGGUUCUUUAUAACCCUUAUCUCUCCGCUUUUCACUUCGAAUAACCUUCUCACAUUGACGUCCUCCCGCUUCUUCUAGCUGGCUGAUCUCUCUUUCUCGAAUGAUUAACCCCUCUUUUCUGCGACUCCCACUGUAUUAAUUCCUCUCCGUU
rnacentral:rRNA from 1 species